rnacentral:rRNA from 1 species
GAUGAACGCUGGCGGCGUGCCUAAUACAUGCAAGUCGAGCGGCAGCACGGGUGCUUGCACCUGGUGGCGAGUGGCGAACGGGUGAGUAAUACAUCGGAACGUACCUUAUUGUGGGGGAUAACGCAGCGAAAGCUGUGCUAAUACCGCAUAAUCCCUAAGGGGGAAAGCGGGGGACCGUAAGGCACCGCGCAAUUAGAGCGGCCGAUACCUGAUUAGCUAGUUGGUGAGGUAAAGGCUCACCAAGGCAACGAUCAGUAGCUGGUCUGAGAGGACGAUCAGCCACACUGGGACUGAGACACGGCCCAGACUCCUACGGGAGGCAGCAGUGGGGAAUUUUGGACAAUGGGGGCAACCCUGAUCCAGCAAUGCCGCGUGAGUGAAGAAGGCCUUCGGGUUGUAAACUGCUUUUGUACGGAACGAAAAGGUUUGGCCUAAUACGCUGAACUCAUGACGGUACCGUAAGAAUAAGCACCGGCUAACUACGUGCCAGCCGCCGCCGUAA